GCAAGUCGAGGGGUAACAUUGGAGCUUGCUUCAGAUGACGACCGGCGAACGGGUGCGUAACGCGUAUAGAAUCUACCUUGUACAGGAGGAUAACCUUUAGAAAUGAAGACUAAUACUUCAUAAUAUUAAGAAAUGGCAUCAUUUUUUAAUUAAACAUUUAUGGGUACAAGAUGACUAUGCGUCCUAUUAGCUAGAUGGUAAGGUAACGGCUUACCAUGGCAACGAUAGGUAGGGGGUCUGAGAGGAUUAUC
rnacentral:rRNA from 1 species